rnacentral:rRNA from 1 species
AUUGAACGCUGGCGGCAGGCCUAACACAUGCAAGUCGAACGAGUGGCGGACGGGUGAGUAAUGUCGGGUAAACUGCCUGAUGGAUGGGGAUAACUACUGGAAACGGUAUCGAAUACCGUAUACCAUCCGCUGUUCCCAGGUGGGAUUAGCUAGUGGGUGGGUUCACGGCGCACCUAGGCGACGAUCCCUAGCUGGUCUGAGAGGAUGACCAGCCACACUGGAACUGAGACACGGUCCAGACUCCUACGGGAGGCAGCAGUGGGGAAUAUUGCACAAUGGGCGAAAGCCUGAUGCAGCAAUGCCGCGUGUGUGAAGAAGGCUUUCGGGUUGUAAAGCUCUUUUGGCGGGGAGGCGUUACCCACAGAGGAAGCACCGGCUAACUCCGUGCCAGCAGCCGCGGUAAUAC